UGGGGGAUAUUGCACAAUGGGCGAAAGCCUGAUGCAGCGACGCCGCGUGGGGGAUGAAGGCCUUCGGGUUGUAAACUUCUUUUGCUCUGAACAAGGCAUGCUAAUGGGUGUGUUGAGUGUAGGGGUUGAUUAGCGCCGGCUAACUACGUGCCAGCAGCCGCGGUAAUACGUAGGGCGCGAGCGUUGUCCGGAAUUAUUGGGCGUAAAGGGCUUGUAGGUGGCUGGUUGCGUCUGUCGUGAAAGCUCAUGGCUUAAAUGUGGGUUUGCGGUGGGUACGGGCUGGCUUGAGUGCAGUAGGGGAGGCUGGAAUUCCUGGUGUAGCGGUGGAAUGCGCAGAUAUCAGGAGGAAUACCGGUGGCGAAGGCGGGUCUCUGGGCUGUUACUGACACUGAGGAGCGAAAGCAUGGGGAGCGAACAGG
rnacentral:rRNA from 1 species